rnacentral:rRNA from 1 species
AUUGAACGCUGGCGGCAGGCCUAAUACAUGCAAGUCGAACGGUAGCACAGAGAGCUUGCUCUCGGGUGACGAGUGGCGGACGGGUGAGUAAUGUCUGGGAAACUGCCCGAUGGAGGGGGAUAACUACUGGAAACGGUAGCUAAUACCGCAUAACGUCGCAAGACCAAAGUGGGGGACCUUCGGGCCUCACACCAUCGGAUGAGACCAGAUGGGAUUAGCUAGUAGGUGGGGUAAUGGCUCACCUAGGCGACGAUCCCUAGCUGGUCUGAGAGGAUGACCAGCCACACUGGAACUGAGACACGGUCCAGACUCCUACGGGAGGCAGCAGUGGGGAAUAUUGCACAAUGGGCGCAAGCCUGAUGCAGCCAUGCCGCGUGUAUGAAGAAGGCCUUCGGGUUGUAAAGUACUUUCAGCGGGGAGGAAGGCGGUGGAGUUAAUAACUUCACCGAUUGACGUUACCCGCAGAAGAAGCACCGGCUAACUCCGUGCCGGCAGCAGCCGCAG